rnacentral:rRNA from 1 species
UACGGGGGGGGCAAGCGUUGUUCGGAAUUACUGGGCGUAAAGGGCGCGUAGGCGGCCAUCUAAGUCAGACGUGAAAUCCCUCGGCUCAACCGAGGAACUGCGUCUGAUACUGGAAGGCUUGAAUCCGGGAGAGGGAUGUGGAAUUCCAGGUGUAGCGGUGAAAUGCGUAGAUAUCGGGAGGAACACCAGUGGCGAAGGCGACUGCCUGGCAUGUUCUUGACGCUGAGGCGCGAAAGCUAGGGGAGCAAACGGG